GUUGGCAAAACGGUAGGCACAAGCAUCACGAGUGGAGCAUUGCGCAACAGGCUAUUUGAUUGUUCACGUGGGGAUUGCAUUGGAAAGGGGGAAGUUCACGUGGACACUCUUUCUAUCUCAAUUUCUUUUAAGCUUCUCACCUUCUCCUUUUAUCAUUACCUAUUUUACUGAUGCAUUUUACCUUGUAAUUUCUGAUUCCAGAGACUUUAAUACAUCUACAAAAAAG
rnacentral:misc_RNA from 1 species